CUGCUGCCUUCCGUAGGAGUCUGGUCCGUGUCUCAGUACCAGUGUGGGGGGCCUUCCUCUCAGAACCCCUACGCAUCGUCGGCACGGUGGGCCGUUACCCCGCCGUCUACCUAAUGCGACGCAUGUCCAUCCUAUGCCGGAUCUCUCCUUUAACCUCCCGGGGAAUGCUCCCAAAAGGUGUUACGCGGUAUUAGGCCGGAUUUCUCCGGGUUAUCCCCCUGCAUAGGGCAGGUUACAUACGUGUUACUCACCCGUGCGCCGGUCGCCGGCAGG
rnacentral:rRNA from 1 species